ACUCAAAUGAAUUGACGGGAACCUGCACAAUCAGUGGAGCAUGUGGUUUAAUUCGAGACGAACCGAAGAACCUUACCCGGGUUUGACAUUUUAUCGUUUUAGGUCACUAGAAACAGAGACUGAUCUUUUAGAAAUAAAAGAUGAUAGAACAGGUGUUGCAUGGCCGUCGUCAGCUCGUGUCGUGGGAUGUUCCCUUCAGUGGGGUAACGAGCGCAACCCCUAUCGAAUGUUGAAUUGUUCAUUCGAGACUUUUGUUAUUUUUAACGAAGGAAGUGGGGACGACGUCAGGUCAGCAUGGCCCUUAUGUCCGGGGCAACACACAUGCUACAAUGAAGCCGACAAUGGGUUGCCAAGCCGUAAGGCGGAGCUAAUCCCAUCAAACGGCUUCUCAGUGGGGAUUGAGGGCUGCAACUCGCCCUCAUGAACGUGGAAUUGAUAGUAAUCGGAGGUCAGCUAUACUCCGGUGAAUACGUUCUCAGGUUUUGUACACACCGCCCGU
rnacentral:rRNA from 1 species